rnacentral:rRNA from 1 species
UACGUAGGGUGCGAGCGUUGCCCGGAUUUAUUGGGCGUAAAGGGCCAGUAGGCGGCCAACUAAGUCCGACGUGAAAUCCCCAAGCUUAACUUGGGAACUGCGUCGGAUACUGGAUGGCUUGAAUUCGGGAGAGGGAUGCAGAAUUCCAGGUGUAGCGGUGAAAUGCGUAGAUAUCUGGAGGAACACCGGUGGCGAAGGCGGCAUCCUGGACCGGCAUUGACGCUGAGGAGCGAAAGCCAGGGGAGCAAACGGG